CCAUAAUCCAAGGCAGGGAUGAGAAGUUUCAGAGAAAAGACAUCCCACCUGUCUUGGGAUAUGAGGACUGGAGGCAGCCUGGACUUGAAUGGUGGGAAGAUCAGAAUAAAUGAGAUAAACAGCCUGAAAGAAGCUGUGGGUGACUUAUUUCUUUGUCAGCAGAAGGAAAUCAAUGGAAAAGAACCUGCAGGACAGUGAAUCAUUGCACUUGCCCCAUGUCUGCAUCUCGCUUCUUGCAAGGAUCAAAAAUAAAAUGAAGAAGAAGGA
ensembl:lncRNA